UCAUACGUUACCGGAAAUCGCUCCGCCGCGCCGGAGGCGGCGGAGCUCACUCAAACUCAAAAUUGAACAUACCAAAACGCUCUUCUCCACUCCAUCUCUUCCUAAUUCAACCUAGUUUCAACCAAUUCUAACGCAACCUGUCUUAAUCGACGCGAGAGAUAAACCUUAGGUCUAGGAAAAAACGAAAUUAGACGCCAAUAAUUGCAAAUCAUGGAGCAAGAUCAAGGGAGAAGUAAUCAGAGGACAAUGAUCUUCGGUAUGGCAUCAACAACAGCGUAAAAGAGAUGAAGAAAGUUGGAGGAGUUCGCGUUUACCUACCGGAGUCAGUCCGGCGCUCCUUUGACGGCGUCGACUUGGAGAAAUAAACGCGAGGAAAUCUUCACUUCAGAUGUAUGUUGAAGACGAAGAUGGAUUUCGAAGCUUGAAGGUUGAGUAGAGGUUGAAGAUGAAGCAGGGUGAAGGGCGUGGUUCAGCUCAACUUCAUUCAGAGCCUGAUGAUUGCUCUGAGGAAGCUUAGCGAGGAGCUCUUUGUGUGGGGAAUAGGAAUGAAGAUGAUGGUGAUGAGAGGAAAAGCAUAAUGGUUCUGUUGAGAAGUGGGAUCGAAGAGAUAGAAGAAAAGUUUCAGAAAUGAUGAAUGGUUGAGAGAGAGUCCAGAGAAUGGUAAAGAUGGAAGUGAAUUGUGUAGGAGAAUGAUGAAGAGAGUCUCAUAUAUAUAGAACCGGCGUGAACUUGUGCAGGCGACUUGGAAGUUAAUGGUCCUUUUUUACAGCGAGUGGCAGAAUUUAUGCAGGUUUACGGUACCAUGGUGUGUCAAGGCAUAUGAAGCAAUUCUGGAGUGCUUUGAAGUUUGAAGUGCAAGAGAUGGAAGUGCACCAACAAAGAUGAUAAUGAGAAUAUCUUGGAGAAUAAGUUUAGGGGAGAGAAGUUUAGAGAUAGGUGACAUGUAGUGUUAAUGUCUUUAGGAAUACGCGAAGACGGAUCUGUUUGGACACUUGAUAAUUCACUGAUGGUGUACAAGUUUGAAGGUCCGUUUUAAAUACGGCAUAUAGAUAGCAAGCAGAAAGAUGAAGUGAAAACAACAUGGUGAAGAUGUAUCACUUAGAAUAGCUUUGACACGAUCUUUUCCUCAUUUCUGUUCUGUGUAAUCGCCCCAAUGUGUAAUGGAAUCCCUGAUGCGGAUGUAAUUUAUUUGAAAUUUGA